CAGGGUGUCGGUUCAGGACUAAAAUGAAGUCAUAGCUAAUCUUAAUGCAUAUAACGUCUAGUGAACCAGCACUUAUUAUUUCAAUAAAGGAUGUCUGAUUAUUCACAUAAAAGAAAUAGUUGCAUCGCAAAAGGUUGGCUGAGGGUGUCUUGGUACAACAGUGAGUUUAUUUCACUGUGACUUGGUAGUCAGAUUUAAACCAUGAAACAAACUAAUGCCAGAAGCUUCAUGCACCAGCACACACCUUAUUUAGAAAGGUUGACCAUCCUAAUAUUUCUCAAUCAACUGUCACAUUGUGCUUUUGGUCUGGCUUCAAAGAUUCAUCCUUAGUGCAAACGUAAAUGUAAUGGACAUCAGGGUUUUUUCCAAGUGUGACUUCCACCGAGUUUCCAUCAUCACCAAGUGGAACAGGAUUUGUCAACUCCCAAAUUGGAUGUUCAGAGACUCCUCCAGAGAAAAGCUUUUCUAUCACAUGGAGUUUUAUCCUCCACAAGUAAGAUUCUCUCAACAAGCGUAAACGAUACACUGGAGCUCCAUAUGUAACC
rnacentral:misc_RNA from 1 species